AAAAAAAAUACAUUUUUUGUUGUUGUUGUUCUUUAUCGUCAUCGUGUGAUUUUCUUUGGUAGGCUGAAUCACAGUUGUUGUAAUGCUUGGGUCUGACGCUGUUACUCCGCUCCCGCAGAGCAGCCCGGCCUCCCACGGCAGAGAGACGUGCACGGGCAUUUGGAGAGCGUGAAGCCCAACGCGUGGCUCCUCCACGCCGCUCCACUCCCCCGCGGCGGCUGCCGACGAAGCUCCCCAUUCCGCGUUGUGAUUUGCAUGCCUCCUCCACUUCCUGCUGCAGAGCCAGUUCUGCAGCCUACCUGGGAGAGGAAGGGAGGCUGUCGUAAAAGG